AUGAUAAUAAUCAUCCACCGCAAUAACCUUCAGCCCAUUCCUAUAUUCUACCAGGGAUAUUUUGGACGUUUUCUCUUCUAAUCUCCAACAUUCCCUUCUCGAUCUAACUCCACGUCUGUUUCUUGAUGUUUCUAUUUACCCCAACAAAAGCCCUUACCGAACUUGCUUCUCGUCGCGACAAGAUCUUCAUUUCAACGUGACUUUGUAUGAUGGAGAAGGAUCCAAAAGCAGGCAACAAACAUCCAAAUACCCAUUUGUAGUGUGCUUGGACGACAGGUUGGAAGAUUUCGCUUUUUAUCAAGAUUGUUCGUUCGAGCGAUGGUUUUGCUGCUCAAGUAAAGUUUCAUACAGAU